rnacentral:piRNA from 1 species
GUGUAUGGAAUGAGAAUGUUGUAGAGAUCU